rnacentral:rRNA from 1 species
GGACCUGACUGCUAUCGGAUUGAUACUAAGCCAUGCGAGUCAUUGUAGCAAUACAAGGCAUACGGCUCAGUAACGCGUAGUCAACCUAACCUAUGGACGGGAAUAACCUCGGGAAACUGAGAAUAAUGCCCGAUAGAACAUUAUGCCUGGAAUGGUUUAUGUUCCAAAUGAUUUAUCGCCGUAGGAUGGGACUGCGGCCUAUCAGUUUGUUGGUGAGGUAAUGGCCCACCAAGACUAUUACAGGUACGGGCUCUGAGAGGAGUAGCCCGGAGAUGGGUACUGAGACACGGACCCAGGCCCUAUGGGGCGCAGCAGACGAGAAAACUUUGCAAUGUGCGAAAGCACGACAAGGUUAAUCCGAGUGGUUUCUGCUAAAGAAACCUUUUGUCAGUCCUAGAAACACUGAUGAAUAAGGGGUGGGCAAGUUCUGGUGU